UUCAAAAUAUUUUUACUGGGUGCUCCUGUGCUGGAUUGCUUGAUUGGUUUUUAUUCAUUAUGCUGUCCUUUUCUACUGUAUAUCCUUUUCCACUAUGUCGGAUCCCCACAGUGGUAAAGUCAGCAACUUUUUGCCUUUUUUCUCUGUGGAGAGGAUAUCUGUAUCUGCCUAUCUGUCUUUCUGCAUUAAAGUGUUUUAUAAAUGGUCCAUUACUUAAAAUGUCUGUUUUGAGGAACUGUGGGUCAGCACCUCCUUAUGUUACCCAGUAGUCUCUCCCUAUGCGGACAGGACUCAAAGUCCAACUUUGUAGUUGUGUGACCAGUAGAAGGUCCACUUAACUUCUAUUCAUAAAAUGAGAAAGAUAAAAUUUGCUUUAAAGUCUUCCAAAGGGUCACAAAAAAUAAAGUAUAAGUGUAUAUGUCCAUUUUAUUGUAAGCUGUUGAACAAAAUAUAUGUAUUAUUGGUGAAAUAGUGUAAUUAUGUAAGAGAAAACAAAAUUUAGAAUCAGAAAACUUGGGUUAAGUUCCACUGCUUACUAGCUGUGUGACUUUAGGUAAAUCGCUUACACUCUCUGCACUUUAAUUUUCUUAAAUUUGAAAAUAGAGAUAAUGGUAAAAAGUACCAUCACAAGAUUUUUGUGAGGAGCAACAUAAAGAUAUGGGGAAAAGAUUAUACAAAAUGCAAAAGCACUGAUCAUGAAGCUACACCUUAAUAGGAUUUCCUUAGUGGUAGCUGUUCCAUGGAUUUUUGAGGAAUAAGAUAUUUUAUUCCCUGUUAAGUUUCAGGCUUAAACUUCAAACUUAUAGGAACAAAUGAAAAAAAGUAUUUUGGAGUCAGAAAUUGGUCCUGUACAAUAAAACAAGUACACUGAAUUGAUUUUGCAAGAAAUAUUUGGAAGCUUCAGACUGCUGAAUCUGUUGGCCAUGCUGAAUUUUUUGAUGCAAAAAUCUGAUUCUCUCCUUGAUUAUUACCUUUUCAAGGACAGUUUAUGAACACCAGAUACCUCUCAGAAACUGUUUUUUAAAAACUAGUAUUUUUAAGCCCCACUCCUCUCAUACAUAACGUUUUCUUUUAGUCCCAUAGCUAAAUCUGGGUUGAUUGGUUUUUCUGACCAAUAGUUCUGAAGCAUCCAGGCUAACUCAUACCAAUUAUUUUCUUUGUUAAUAUAGCUAUUUGGGGGUUGUACCACCUUAGUGAUUUCAGUCACGUACUUUUAAAGACACUAAUUCUGUGUAAGUCAGUUCAUGCCUCUGAGUGAUCCCUUGAAAUAUGGAAUUCUCUGAAAAUUAACCUCUAGACUCUAGCCAAAGACAUAGCAAACUACCUGCUUAAAAGAAAUUUUUGUUCUUGGGAUGGCUUUCCCCUGCUCAUGCUCUCUCAAAUAAAUAAAAUCUU